AAGUCGUAACAAGGUAACCGUAGGUGAACCUGCGGUUGGAUCAUUAAAAAAUGUAAAUUGUCCCUUGCUUAUUAUUUAAGCUUGGGCUUUUUCAACACAGUGUCUUGGUCGCAUUAGUGAGUGCUGGUGCUUCUCUCUAGCGGGCACUGCUUCAACUCUUUCUUAACUGAAGGGGAAGGAGUAGUUAGUUCUCUGGGGGGAUGAUUACUAGCGUUUUGCUGUGUGUGCUAAGGCAUUUUCUACGCAUAUACUUUAGUCUAUAUCUUAAACAACUCUAGUUGUAAAAUAGCAAUAUUAAACAACUUUUGGCAACGGAUCUCUAGGCUCUU
rnacentral:misc_RNA from 1 species